rnacentral:misc_RNA from 1 species
GAUGAAGAACGCAGCGAAAUGCGAUAAGUAAUGUGAAUUGCAGAAUUCAGUGAAUCAUCGAAUCUUUGAACGCACAUUGCGCCCCUUGGUAUUCCGAGGGGCAUGCCUGUUCGAGCGUCAUUAUAACCCUCAAGCUCAGCUUGGUGUUGGGGCCUGCUGCACUGGCAGCCCUUAAAAUCAGUGGCGGCGCCAUCUGGCUCUAAGCGUAGUAAUUCUUCUCGCUAUGGAGUCCUGGUGGAUGCUUGCCAUCAACCCCCAAUUUUUCUAUGGUUGACCUCGGAUCAGGUAGGGAUACCCGCUGAACUUAAGCAUAUCCAUAAGCGGAGGA